rnacentral:lncRNA from 1 species
UUACAGGUGUGAGCCACUGCACCUGGCCAGAUUUCUAUAGUUUGAAAUUGAAUGAGACUUGUUUUAUGGUUCAAGAUAUUGUCCAUCUUGGUGAGCGUUCCAUGUAACCUUGAAAAGAAAGUGUAUUUUGCAAUUGUUGGGCAUGAUAUUUUAUAAAUGUUAGUUAAGUUAAGGAUGUCAAUAGUGUCUUUCAGAUCUUCUGUAAACCUACCAUUUUUUUAAGUUGUUCUAUUACUGAGAGAAGUGCAUUAAAAUCUCUAACUUUGUAGGUUUGUCUAUUUCUUCUCAUUUCUAUCAAGUUUUGCUUUAUACAUUUGUCAUACGUUGUUAGUGGGCAUAUAUAUAUAUUCCAUCCUACUGCCCUUUUCCUUUUUGUCUCUUGUAGUACUCCUUAUCUUGAAGUCUAUUUUAUCUAAUAUUAAUAGCCACUGAAGCUUUCUUAUUGACUAUUAGUACCUUUUAAUAAUAUGCUACUCUUUUUUUUUCUUUUUCUUUUUUUUCUUUUUUUUGAGACAGAGUCUCACUGUCACCCAGGCUG